CAAGUCGAACGAGAAAGCCGCAAGGUGAGUAAAGUGGCGUACGGGUGAGUAACACGUGGAUAAUCUGCCCUUUAGUGGGGAAUACCGCUGGGAAACCGGCGACAAUACCGCAUAAGCUCGAGAGAGGAAAGCAGCAAUGCGCUGAAGGAGGAGUCCGCGGUCGAUUAGUUAGUUGGCGGGGUAAAGGCCCACCAAGACUGUGAUCGAUAGCCGGCCUGAGAGGGCACACGGCCACACUGGCACUGAAACACGGGCCAGACUCCUACGGGAGGCAGCAGUGGGGAAUCUUGCACAAUGGGGGAAACCCUGAUGCAGCGACGCCGCGUGAGCGAUGAAGCCCCUCGGGGUGUAAAGCUCUUUCGGCAGGGAAGAUUAUGACGGUACCUGCAAAAGCAGCUGCGGCUAACUACGUGCCAGCAGCCGCGGUAAUACGUAGGCAGCAAGCGUUGUUCGGAGUUACUGGGCGUAAAGGGUGCGUAGGCUGCUUUUUAAGUUUGGUGUGAAAUCUCCCGGCUCAACCGGGAGGGUGCGCCGAAUACUGAGAGGCUAGAGUGUGGGAGAGGAAAGUGGAAUUCCUGGUGUAGCGGUGAAAUGCGUAGAUAUCAGGAGGAACACCGGUGGUGUAAACGGCUUUCCGGACCAUAACUGACGCUGAGGCACGAAAGCGUGGGUAGCAAACAGGAUUAGAUACCCUGGUAGUCCACGCCCUAAACGAUGCAUAUUUGGUGUGGGCCAUUCAUUUGGUCUGUGCCGGAGCUAACGCGUUAAAUACGCCGCCUGGGGAGUACAGUCGCAAGGCUGAAACUCAAAGGAAUUGACGGGGGCCCGCACAAGCGGUGGAGCACG
rnacentral:rRNA from 1 species